rnacentral:rRNA from 1 species
GAUGAACGCUGGCGGCGUGCCUAAUACAUGCAAGUCGAGCGAACGGACGAGAAGCUUGCUUCUCUGAUGUUAGCGGCGGACGGGGGAGUGACACGUGGAUAACCUCCCUAUAAGACUGGGAUAACUUCGGGAAACAGGAGCUCAUACCGGACAAUAUUUUGAAUCGCAUGGUUGAAAAGUGAAAGACGGUCUUGCUGUCACUUAUACAUGGAUCCGCGCUGCAUUAGCCAGUUGGUAAGGUAACGGCCUACCAAGGCAACGAUGCAGAGCCGACCUGAGAGGGUGACCGGCCACACUGGAACUGAGACACGGUCCAGACUCCUACGGGAGGCGGCAGUAGGGAAUCUUCCGCAAUGGGCGAAAGCCUGACGGAGCAACGCCGCGUGAGUGAUGCAGGUCUUCGGAUCGUAAAACUCUGUUAUUAGGGAAGAACAUAUGUGUAAGUAACUGUGCACAUCUUGACGGUACCUAAUCAGAAAGCCACGGCUAACUACGUG